rnacentral:rRNA from 1 species
UACAGAGGUCCCAAGCGUUGUUCGGAUUCAUUGGGCGUAAAGGGUGCGUAGGCGGUGAGGUAAGUUGGAUGUGAAAUCCCGGGGCUCAACCCCGGAACUGCAUUCAAUACUGCCUUGCUAGAGUACUGGAGAGGAGAUUGGAAUUCACGGUGUAGCAGUGAAAUGCGUAGAUAUCGUGAGGAAGACCAGUGGCGAAGGCGAAUCUCUGGACAGUUACUGACGCUGAGGCACGAAGGCUAGGGGAGCAAACGGG